GGUUUCCACCUUCGAGCCCAAUGCCAAGCCCUCGUCAAGCCCUCGAUGUCCGACCACAGACCCACGUUUGUAAAUCAUCUCCAUUGUCCCUUCCUUUUCGUCUCUCCCUCACUUCCCCCCUCGGUCUUUCUUUUUCACAUCUGUCAACCGAUGUCGCCCCUUACACGCUAGGUUUCCACACGACGCCGUCAUUGGCGAUAAGCUCCUACCUCGGUCUCUCUCUCUCUCUCUCUCCUCUUUGUCCGUUUCUCUGUUUUCUUUCUCUUAAAUCCGCAAUUGUCACAAGCCAUCCCUGUCGCAUCCCAAAACCCUACACCGCCAGCAUGUGGUCAUCACCUGAUGUUGUCGACAGAAACUCCACCGCAUUGUCACCAUAACCCAGUCAAAUGGAAGUUUCACGCUGUCAAGCCAAAUCGUACAUUGCACACCCCUACCCAUAAACUCGAGAUGGGUCAAGCUGGAUAGUAGGUGACAAUCGUUAUUUACUGGCACUGUUAUGAGGAAAUUCAGAGAAGUUGAAAAGUUUAGGUAAGCGGUGCUCCUAUACCAGACUUUGUCUAAACGGACUGGGAUUGAUUUUAUAAAAAACUUGUAUAUUUUAUUAUGGAACAUUCGAAACAACCUCGGUCAUUUUUCUGCAUAACUCUUUGUAUCCAAAUAACCAAAUAACAUACUUUAUGUCUUGAUUGGUCAUGUAGACACGAGCAUUUCUUGCAUUAUGUUCUAAACUAUAUAAAAAAAGUGUAUAUGAAAUCUGAAAUUUUGUACAUGGUUAUAUAAAUAUGAUCUAUAUAUAAUGUUCAGUACUCUAUUAUGAUAAGGUGUUGCAUUUGAAAUGCACUCUGGCAUGACCUUUUAUUUCUGUUUUCGUUCCAACCUUACCACUAGUGUAAAACUAUGGCAUAUGUUAUUGUGUUUGUAUCAACAUCUUUGUUUCUGAGUGCAUUCACUUUGGAAACAAGGUGAUUUUCUGUGUGGUCUUUCCUAUGUGCACACUUGAGGCUCCAAGAAUGAUGGAGGGAAGAUUUCACUUCUCUUUCCACCCGGUUUGGCCACUAGGGAUAGCACAACCCUACCACGAGGGUUAAACAUAGUUUAUAUUCUGAUAUGAUGCUGCUCAAUUAUGUUAUGCCUAAGGACUUUUGUAUAUAAAUAUUUCUUAACUCUCACUUUGAUAUUUUGAUAAUAUAUUUUGUUCUACAUUUUAUAGCUGGCUUAUAUUUACAUAAUAGUAUAUGUUUACUACUUACUAAGUUAUUGAUAAAUCACCCAAUUAUCUUCAAUAAGAAGUGUGAGCGAGACUAGUUGGGCAUAGUGGAUUUAGUACCAAAGGGUAUUAUGGAUUGUUGGAGAGUCUUAUUAUGUAGAUUUGAUUUUUGUUGAUUUGGUAUUUGGGAUGUUGAGACUUCUUGGAGUUGCUGAUUAAUUUUGUUAGAAUGUUUCCUUGAUGUCCUUGUAGAGGAACAUGCAUGUUUAGUUUGAACUAAUGAGAUUAUGUUUUAUGGAAUCAUUGGAGUAUGUAUUGUUUGGAGAUGAUUUUUAGGUAGCAGAAACUAACUCUUUGACCUUCCGAAUAUGGGACGUUACACGACAUGCAGCAAAGGUACUGUAUCAGAUAUCUCAUUAUAUGCCAAAACCCAUAGUAUCAAACGGCAAAGUUGGAGGAAUUUUUUGCAAAUCAUUUUCUUCAAACUCUUCUAGGACAACAUUACCCUAAGGUUUGUAAUUAUUCAUAUUGUCGAGUUCAAAAAACGUUGCAUUUGGGGUUGAAAAUACCUUUUAUAGGUGGACUUAACAAUCCGCCUAAUUUCUUUCACAAAAACAGAUUCACUAUAGAAUUGCUUGCAAUAGAUAUAUGUAUACGAUAAUGAUAGAGGCACGGGGUCUAUGUACACGAGACAGAUUCAAAAAUAAUAUUCUUACUAUUCAAAUUAAUAAUGAAAAUACUGUUCAUGAACAUCGCAUCUUUAGCAAAUUUGUAUAGGUGUAUAGCUUUAUUUAUUCUCCAAUUAUGUCGAGCCAAUAAUAGCUUUAUUUAAUGCUAGCUUUGUUAGCAUGAAAUCAAAUUUGUGCUUAUUUGGACGAGUCAGUGCAUCAUAAUUUUCCAUAUGAUGUAUCAAAUGAUUGGAAAGUUAUCGUUUUUUUUUUAAUUCAACUAUUAAUUAUUUGAUAACACAUUAUAUAUUUAUGUAAUCUGCAAUUUUUUGGGCAGUUAAGAUAGUUU